AACGUACGCUGGCGGCACGCCUAACACAUGCAAGUCGAGCGAAGUAUCAAUACUUAGUGGCAGACGGGUGAGUAACAUGUAGGUAUCUGCCCUUUGGCCUGGAAUAACACGAGGAAACUUGUGCUAAUACCGGAUAAGUCUUUACGGAGAAAGCUUUAUGCACCAUUGGAUGAGCCUGCACUUGAUUAGUUUGUUGGUAGGGUAAUGGCCUACCAAGACUGUGAUCAAUAGCUGAUUUGAGAGGAUGAUCAGCCACAUUGGGACUGAGACACGGCCCAAACUCCUACGGGAGGCAGCAGUGGGGAAUCUUGCACAAUGGAGGAAACUCUGAUGCAGCGAUGCCGCGUGAGUGAAGAAGGCCUUUGGGUUGUAAAGCUCUUUCGUCGGGGAAGAAAAUGACUGUACCCGAAUAAGAAGGUCCGGCUAACUUCGUGCCAGCAGCCGCGGUAAUACGAAGGGACCUAGCGUAGUUCGGAAUUACUGGGCUUAAAGAGUUCGUAGGUGGUUGAAAAAGUUGGUGGUGAAAUCCCAGAGCUUAACUCUGGAACUGCCAUCAAAACUUUUCAGCUAGAGUUUGAUAGAGGAAAGCAGAAUUUCUAGUGUAGAGGUGAAAUUCGUAGAUAUUAGAAAGAAUACCAAUUGCGAAGGCAGCUUUCUAGAUCAUUACUGACACUGAGGAACGAAAGCAUGGGUAGCGAAGAGGAUUAGAUACCCUCGUAGUCCAUGCCGUAAACGAUGUGUGUUAGACGUUGGAAAUUUAUUUUCAGUGUCGCAGCGAAAGCGAUAAACACACCGCCUGGGGAGUACGACCGCAAGGUUAAAACUCAAAUGAAUUGACGGGGACCCGCACAAGUAGUGGAGCAUGUGGUUUAAUUCGAAGAUACGCGCAGAACCUUACCAACACUUGACAUGUUCGUCGCGACUCUAAGAGAUUAGAGUUUUCGGUUCGGCCGGACGAAACACAGGUGCUGCAUGGCUGUCGUCAGCUCGUGUCGUGAGAUGUUGGGUUAAGUCCCGCAACGAGCGCAACCCUCACUUUUAGUUGCCAUCAUUAAGUUGGGCACUCUGAAAGAACUGCCAGUGAUAAGCUGGAGGAAGGUGGGGAUGACGUCAAGUCCUCAUGGCCCUUACGUGUUGGGCUACACACGUGCUACAAUGGUAUCUACAACAGGAAGCAAGACUGCGAAGUUAAGCAAAUCCCUAAAAGAUACCUCAGUUCGGAUUGCACUCUGCAACUCGAGUGCAUGAAGCUGGAAUUACUAGUAAUCGUGGAUCAGCGUGCCACGGUGAAUGCGUUCCCGGGUCU
rnacentral:rRNA from 1 species